rnacentral:lncRNA from 1 species
CCAAGCAGAUAGACACAUAUUAAAGCAUCAGCAAUGUCACGAUUUGCAGAAAUUUUCUAAUUUCCAAGCAUUCAUUAAGACAUCACGAGUCAAGAACCACGAAAAGGGGGAGGAAAAUAAAAAAGAAUAGAUUACAACAUGGUACUAAGCCGAAGACAUCUUAGAUCGACAACAAAUCAGACCUGCCGGAGCACUCCUUGUGAGGGUUAUUUCUUGUUAUUCCCUUUAUUUUUCGAGUCUGUAGCUGCUGUUCCGCCAGCGGCAGCCUGAGCUGCCUUCCUUGCUGCCUUCUCUUCCAGCGCCUUCUUAUCCCUUCAGACAGAACAUAAAAUUUCAGGAUCAGACGAUUUUGAGAAAAAGAAGAAAAAGAUUGUCCCAACUUCCCUGCAAUGAGUAAAAUUAAUCUAUCCGUUUAGAACUUCAAAAUUAGUAAAUUAAGCUUGACUUUUUCCAGCAAUAAUCAUCUUACUCUUCAAUAAAUGCUUUUGCCCCCCACUUUUUUUUUUUCAUUCCUAAAGCUUUUAUUCUAUCGCUCAUCUAAUUUUACAUGCACAGUAUAUUCUAAACGAACAAUAGUAUAAGGGAGAAAAUUUAAACCACCUGAUCAAAAGCUUUUGUAGAAAAGCAUAUAUAAUCAAAAUUAAAAGUGUACAAGGACAACAAUAUCCACGGUACCAACACUUUGUAGUAGUAUAAUCGCAUUUGCCCCUCACACAAAUCAUCAAAGAAAUAUUUUUCUUUAAAAAAAAAAAUAGAACUUUAAGAUACAAUAAUAAACAAUUAGACGAAUAUAAUACUAAAUAAACUGAAAAAGAGGGGAGUUUAAAAAAAAAAAAAAAAAAAAAAAAAAAAAAAAAAAAAAAAAAAAAAAAAAAAAAAANACUUUUGUUUAAAAAGAAGGAAUGUGAUUGGCUUGUUAUUGAUGACGUGGUGCAAGUGUGACAGUGUAGAAUUCCUCCUGUUCAGGGGUGAGGCCAUCUUCCUUCCCCUUGACCGCGGGCUUCCUCGCCUGCGCUCUCGCGCGAUCCCUCUCCCUCUGAUCUCCGCGUAAUCCAUCAUCCCCAGCAUCAAAUUAAGGAAAAUUACAUAAUAAUAAUCCCCAAACCAAAUAAAAGAAAACAAAAUGAAUCCACAAAAAAGAAAAAAAAAAUACAGCUAACCAAGUUCAGGAAAGAGAAAAAAUUGGUGGAAAAGAUGAUGAUGAUGAUGAUGAUGAUCGGAACGAUCGGAAGAGGAUAUGAGUCAUUGUAUCGUUCUCCGGAUUGGUUGAGAUCGGUGACGAAUUAUGAGGAGGAGGAGAAGUAGAGAGUCGUAGGGAUAGAGAAAAUAAAAUUGCGGAGAAUACGGAAGGGAGGAGGCGAUUUAAAGGGGGAUGGAAAUUAUCUAUUAUUAUUAUUAUUAUUAUUAUUAUAAUUAUAAUUAUAAUAAUAAUAAGUUGCAAAGUG